CUGUAGCCUAUAAUUGAUCACAGUUCCUUCACUUUGUUUAAGAUGUAGAGCUAUAUAAAAAAGAAGAUGUGGUAUGAUUGCCAAUGAGACAACUAUCCACAAAAGACCAAAAUGACACAGACAUUAACAACUAUAGGUCACCGUACGGCCUUUAACAAUGAGCAAAGCCCAUACCGCAUAGUGAGCUAUAAAAGGCCCCGAUAAGACAAUGUAAAACAAUUCAAACGAGAAAACUGUCUCUUUGACACUCAAUUGUACACCACUUUGUCAAUCGGGGGGUUAUAGUGAUAAAGAAGUCCGUCUUUCCGUUCGUCCGUUGGACCGGUACAAUAUGUUUCGCCGGUUUUGUAAGCGCAUCUCCUCAUAAACCACUAAAUAUACAUUGGGGGUUCCGGCCAUUUUUAAAUGGAGAGGGGUCCAAUCCAGGAGAAAAGGGGAUUCCAAAUAUAUGUUCCCAUACAAAUGAAUUGAUAGUUAAAAAAGGG
rnacentral:lncRNA from 1 species